rnacentral:lncRNA from 1 species
AACCAAAUGUUUGGAAUGAGAAUCAUUCAUGUUCAUUCUGAUUCCAGAUCCCCACUCUCUCCAACCAAAUAUCUCCUAAUUUUUUACAUAACUCUGAAAUAGAAGGCAAAUUUUGAAGUUGCGGAUGGCCGUUAGUUCUAAUUCUGAAAUGCUACAAUUGAAAUUUCAAAUUUAUCAUCUUUCAUCGGGUAAAAUCCACA